GCUUGAAAAAGGCAAACCGUUCGAAAGGACGGGACGCAAAGCCUCCGACCUAAGUCAUGAAAGUGAUAUGGCAGCGGGGUUCCCAAG
rnacentral:ncRNA from 1 species